AGAGUUUGAUCAUGGCUCAGAACAAACGCUGGCGGCAUGCCUAACACAUGCAAGUCGAACGAGACCUUCGGGUCUAGUGGCGCACGGGUGCGUAACGCGUGGGAAUCUGCCCUUGGGUUCGGAAUAACAGUUAGAAAUGACUGCUAAUACCGGAUAAUGUCUUCGGACCAAAGAUUUAUCGCCCAGGGAUGAGCCCGCGUAGGAUUAGCUAGUUGGUGAGGUAAAGGCUCACCAAGGCGACGAUCCUUAGCUGGUCUGAGAGGAUGAUCAGCCACACUGGGACUGAGACACGGCCCAGACUCCUACGGGAGGCAGCAGUGGGGAAUAUUGGACAAUGGGCGAAAGCCUGAUCCAGCAAUGCCGCGUGAGUGAUGAAGGCCUUAGGGUUGUAAAGCUCUUCUACCCGGGAUGAUAAUGACAGUACCGGGAGAAUAAGCCCCGGCUAACUCCGUG
rnacentral:rRNA from 1 species